rnacentral:lncRNA from 1 species
AAAAGAGCGUUUAUAUACGCUCAACGUUUUUUUUUUUUUCCUUUUUCUUCAUAUUUUUCUCUCAUCUCCCUCUCUUAUCUUUUUCACAAUUCUUUUUCUCUCUUUCUCGCACUCUCUGUCUCUCUCUUGUUCCUCUCUUUCUCUUUGCUAUUCUUACUGAAUCUAGAUGGUCAAGGCUUCAUGCAACACCAAAUCGAGAUAAAAAAUGACUCAUAUAAGGGCAUUUGUGUAAAAGUCGCAGUUAAUUGAUAAAAUAGGGAAGGCAAGCAAGAUGGGUUGAUUCCAGCAGCAAUUUAUUGUUUUCAUCAAUUUGUGUUUGUCCUAUCUCCAUUUUCUUAAUUUUAUUUUUAUUUUUCCAUGACUUCUCAUCUCUUGAAUUCUUUUCUGAAUCAGGAUAGUUUUUCUUUGAUUUGAGAAAGUUUUUUCUUAAAUUUUAUUAUUUGUAAAAUAUUAAUGUAUAAA